AUGCGACGACGACCUCCAGACACUGCGGCGGAUCAUCGCGGCCGUCCGGGCUGGCGAGCUGCGGUCGGCCGCUGCGUCCGACGUCUCGCUGGCUCCGGCAGGGGAAGGCAAGGGCGCCAAGUGGAUGGACGGCUCGCUGCCGCUGCAGAAAAAGCCGUGGGCCGAGGCGCAGUAUCCCAGCCCGGACUCUGGUGCUGGACGCCAUCACCUCACCGAGAUUUCCAUGCAGGAAGCGUUCGUCUCCAUGAACACAUCUCGAUGCAGACAACAAGCCCGAGAUUACCCGUUGCAGUAGCGAUGCACUCAUAG
rnacentral:rRNA from 1 species